AUUGAACGCUGGCGGCAGGCUUAACACAUGCAAGUCGAGCGGGGUGAUGGUGCUUGCACUAUCACUUAGCGGCGGACGGGUGAGUAAUGCUUAGGAAUCUGCCUAUUAGUGGGGGACAACAUUUCGAAAGGAAUGCUAAUACCGCAUACGUCCUACGGGAGAAAGCAGGGGAUCUUCGGACCUUGCGCUAAUAGAUGAGCCUAAGUCGGAUUAGCUAGUUGGUGGGGUAAAGGCCUACCAAGGCGACGAUCUGUAGCGGGUCUGAGAGGAUGAUCCGCCACACUGGGACUGAGACACGGCCCAGACUCCUACGGGAGGCAGCAGUGGGGAAUAUUGGACAAUGGGCGGAAGCCUGAUCCAGCCAUGCCGCGUGUGUGAAGAAGGCCUUAUGGUUCUAAAGCACUUUAAGCGAGGAGGAGGCUACUCUAGUUAAUACCUAGAGAUAGUGGACGUUACUCGCAGAAUAAGCACCGGCUAACUCUGUGCCAGCAGCCGCAGUAAGAC
rnacentral:rRNA from 1 species